GAAGGCAUACUCCCGUAUCCCUAACCUCACGCCCACCAUCCCACACACCGCCUGCCAUGGAUCCGCCGCCGUCCUGAUCUCCGAUCGUUGUCGUCGCUCCCUGUUCCAUCCGCGGCCGCUCCUCACCACAUCCACCCUCCAUCGCAUCCCACUGCCUCCAUAGCCACAUUGGAUCAUCUCUCUCCUUGGUAAUCUCUCUUAGAUCAGCACGCGGUGGUGGGUGCUUCCGAUCGCGUGGUGGCGACGCGGCUGGUCGGGGAACGAGGGUGAGUGUGGUCUAUAGGUGACAACAAUGGUGUUCUGUUGUGCCCCUCCACUCUUCGGACCGCCGAGGCGCAGAAGUACCCGGAGAAGAUCGCGCUCCAUGUAGCAAAUUCGGCCAUGUUCUGAGUGGCUGCCCGGAACUUGGGUUGAAUGGAUUCACAGGUGUGCUAGGUGGAGUGCCACUGGAUUGCCAUGUUAGUGGCAGAAUCCACUCUCCUGCACACAUGAACUUGGGUUUACCAAGGAACUGGGUUAAUACUUCCAUCUUUUGGCUUCGCAAUGGUGAUUAAGAUACUUUUGUUUUUUAGAAUCAUGUUGAUUUAGUUAGUUUGUUAACAGGUGCUUCAGUUAGGACUAAUAGCCGAGAGUGGUCGACAAGAUUGAAUUUGGCAGAGUACAAUACAAUUUUGUUAUAAUUGGUGGUUUAGUUAGUUUUUUUAAAUGGUUCAUGGGCUCAACUACUAUUUAGCUUACUACAGUAUAGUUGUGUCGAUUGUUGAUGAUGAAUAAUACCCAAUGAUUGCUUUCUGGUGCCCACUGUACUAUAGUUUACUACGGAGAACUUGAGCUUUUUUUGCCAAGAAACUGUCUAUGCUAAUUCCCACAAGGAGUAAUUCAUUCCACAUCCAAGUAUUUAUUGUUGAUCAUUGAUGCUUCAUCUGUUUAUGCUGCAGAAACAAGGUCACAUGAAUGAUUAGCAUCUUUCGGCAGAAGCAUGUUAAUUAAUUGAAGAAAUACCACUGCUCCUAUGACUAUGAGCGUAAUCCAAUCCUGAUUUUUUAGGACCACUUUAGGAUGUGAUCAUUAGUGUGGCUUCAAAGCUGCUUGAUAUGGCAUAACGUUUGAUUUUUACUAAUCUUAAAGCCGAGCCUAAGCAAUGUUAAGUAGACUUCAUUGAAUUCUUAAUAAGGAAAUUCCACAAUCUGAUGUGUGUGUCAUAGGAUUAGCGUUGUUUGAAUAAUUUCUUCUUCUUACCAAUCAGGCUGAUGAUUUUAACUGUAGAUGCAGAAUCUGUGCUGGAUGUUCAUCAGCAGUGCCAGUUAAGGGUUCAGGCUCCUACGGCACUCAUGUCAUCAGCCAUAUGGAUGUGCGUGUAUAUGACAGUUUGCUCGAACGGCGUUAUGCCUUCAACUGCAACUAAGGCCACCACACUACUUCAUCGAUAAUUUAUUUUCUAUAGGACUGGGAUUAAUAAUCUCCAACAAUAUGGUCAUGCUUCUUAUAUUUACUUUCAGUUCUAAUACAUUUGUGAUUUUCUGUAUGUUGUACCACCAAAGUAUGUGUGCUAAACCAAACAUGACAUCUAUGCCUUUUCAGGUAUGCAUGCAUGUUUCAAGAGAAUAUAUCUAAUAUGUAGUAUAUAGAAAGGUACCUAAAAUGUUUGGCUUAUAUUGCAGAAUCUUGAAAAUAUACAGUCGUUUUACUUUUUUUUCUAUGAACCUUGGGAGCUUGGGAUGAAGUAUGGUGUAUAUACGAGAACAAUAUUUUUGUGAUAUUGUAUAUACUAAAUUUUUGAUAAUGGAGUAUAUACCACAUUUUUGCCAUGGACUCUUUACCACAUUUUUGAAUUGGUUAGAAUAGCUGACGCCAUUUUUCAUCUUCGUUGUGUUAUAUGCUACCAUCAAAAGGAGUAUAUAAGGUACUAAUUUCAAGCAUAUAUUUACUGUACUGUAUUUGUCUAUAUGCAUCUACAACCAAGCAGUAUGUACACUGCUCUUUGUGCACAGUAUGUAGCAUACGAAAUUAAAUCAAAAGGGUAUAACUUUUUAAUGAAGUAAGUAUAUACUCUUUUUGAGAUGCAGUAUAUACAACAUUUUUUGUAAGGCAAUAUAUAGUACUUUUUUUGUGAACCAGUGUCUACUUUUAAUCAGUAUAUACGUGAUCUUUUAGUAGAUAUAUACUACUCUUCUUGAGUCGGUAUGUACUACUGUUCUUGAUAUAAAGGGUAAAGCAGUGCGCACAUGCCACAUCACAGCCGUUGUUGACUAGAUGGUGGUAUCGCUACGUGGAUCUAUCAGUGCACGCCAUGCCGCCACCGUUUAUUGUCGCCGUUGUCGACGAGAUUGGUAGUGCCAUCGCAUGGAUUGAUCAGUGCACACCAUCGCAUGGAUUGAUCAGUGCACGCCAAGCCUCCGCGUUGUCGACGAGAUGGUGUCGUUUUAUUGAUUGAUUAGUGCACCUACUCAUUAACAUCACAUCCGCUAUGUGACUAGCUGUGUCAAUGGAUUUGCACCUCGAUCCAGAUUGCUUUCAUGCAAAGCUUAUCAUGUUUACCUCUUGUGAUGGAAUAGGCAGGCACACGAGAAGACCUGAUCGAAGACGCUCAUAGUCCGAGGUAAAUACUCCUUCCAUGCAAGCUUUCAAAUAGUUUUCUUUUCUUUUGAACACUGUAAAUUUGUUUUAAAAAUGGUGGUAACAAAUUUGUUAAAUUAUUAGUGGGAGAGACCCCCAACUAAUAAUAUAAGAACAAGAGUAGGCUAGGAAAAACAUACAACAUCAUUAAGCGGCAGUAUCAUUGGAAAGAUUGCACACUAUUAUUGAAUACUGAUGGUCAUGAUGCUAAGUACUUCUUCCUCCAGGCCUGAAAGAGAUAACUAAUUCUCCACCAUCUCUUCCUUUCAUAGUUAAAAAACAGUCUCAAGUAAUCCUACGGCAUGUCUUUCUCUUCGGCCACCUACCACCCAAUGCAAGCUAACCCAUGUCUCCCAAAACCAAGUUGGGGCAUGGAUCCGCUGUGCUAAAGGAGCUUAUUGACUCAAAACCGUUUUCCUCAUCUGUAUUAGGUUCAUUUUCUCAGAAUAUUUGGUUCUAAUUUUUUCCUAGCAGGUUUAUACUUGAAUCCACACUAAUUUUGGAUUUGGGUUCAAUUUGUUUUGUAUCAUGUGCUUGGAUAGUGUUCUGCUAUGCAAGGAUGCAGUCUUGGCUCUUCUCAUAUACAACCUCUGGAUACCUCUGGAGAUUGGUGGGAGCAUAAUAUUCCCACGUACAACCUAUGGAUACAUAAUGGACAUCGGUCGGAGCAUAACUAUGCUCAUGAGGCGAGCCUAUAAAUUAAACCUGCUACCUUAACAGAAGACAACAACAUGAAUGAGCCUAAUGUCAGUUGUCAACGUCGUCACUGGUCAAAUUACUAAUCAAUUUUUGUAUCGACAAAACAUGUCGAAGACCCUAUGUGGGAGAGUUAACAUCGUCAAUGGUCUGCCCCAAUCUCCAGUUCUGGCUAAUGUUGUUGCUUGAAUUGCUGAUCCACCAGAGUCUCAUGUUCAAGGGAGUUCCUUGCCAAGCUGCCAUGUCCUGACUGUUGUAUGUUAGGUCAUGAAUUUUCUUCUAACUCCUUUUCAGCCAGCAGAUAGUGCAGAUAGUUAUAGUGUGAAACACUUGACAAUGUAGCUCUCUGUCGACUACUACAACAUUGAGGGUUUCUGUUAUAAAGCUGAAUAUCUAUUUUUUC